UAAAGUUUAAAUAGAUUUUAUUGUUACAAGGGGGACCCCACCAAGCAGGGUCAGUGACCCCCAAGGAGGUCACCAUGGAGACAUCAAGAGGUCAUGAUUGCAGAAGAGGUGACUGGAAUUGAAUGACAUGAUCCAGGGGAGGCCGGCCACAAAUGCAGUAACAUGACCAGGAUGGGCCGGUGGGGCUGGUCAGGUCACAGUGUGAGGGACAGAACGGACCCCUUCACUCUGGCCUCCUGUAGGUCUCCAGGUGUGACAGGAUCCAGCCCGCUGGCAGGAGGAAGGUCACGAAGCAGGAGGUAAGCCCAACGGCCAAUUCCAUGAUCCCAAGCUUCCCCUCCGGCGGCAACGAAUGGAUCUUGGCGCGCGGCACUGGGAGCCGCCGGGCCGAGCCUGUCAAGCCCCGCAGCAGCAGCGGCGUCAGGACGGACAUGAUGGCACGGAGUACACCACAAAAAACGGUCAGCCGUAGCCCAAGGUCAGGAAGCCAAAAUGGCUGCGCUGGCCGGAA
rnacentral:lncRNA from 1 species